GUUUGGUCCCGGAUGUGUUUCGCCGUUUGGAAGCUGCCGAUCCUCAUCCGUAAAUAUAACAAUAUGCAGAAGAACGGAUACAGAUUUACGGUGUUGUGGAUGACAUAUUGAAGAAGUUCGAUCCGAUACCCUUCCCGAAGAUCUGUAUGAGACCUAGAGGUAAAAAAAUCCUGCUGAAUUUUACUAUUGGAAUGCCGCAAAUAAUAUAGAGGAAGAAAUCGUGCAAAGCGAUUAUCCUGUUACUUUUUGAAUGGUGGUUCGUCGGCACCUCGUUCGGCACUAGAGGCUUACGGAGAAGAAGUCAAAAUCAUGGUGCAAACGAAAGAUGCACAACUGCUGGAUAAACCUCUAAUUGAACCGUGUAAAACAGGUUUGAUGAAUACUCCGAUGCUCAAAAAUGUGCUUUUAAAUGGCCAUUUGCGCCAUGGAAAAACGGAAAAGCUCCACGGACACACUUUUUACUGGAUAGGAACGCGAUACCGCCGGACGUGAAGAGGGCAAGAGCUUCUGGAUAAACUAUAUUCGAGACUCCAGGGCAUGUGAACUUUUCGGACGAGGUAACUAUUGCCACAAUGCGUCUAUACGAUGGAGAUGUUCUUUUAAUGGACACCACGCAAGUAUUCUCAAAUAUGUACAUAGAUUACUGAAGCUGGUUUCGAUGGAUACAAUGUUGUGCCAUAAAGUCGUUGUAUAGAUAAUAAAUAUU